UACGUAGGGGGCAAGCGUUGUCCGGAUUUAUUGGGCGUAAAGAGCGUGUAGGCGGUCAGGUAGGUCCGUUGUGAAAACUCGAGGCUCCAACCUCGAGACGCCGAUGGAAACCAUCUGACUAGAGUCCGGAAGAGGAGAGUGGAAUUCCUGGUGUAGCGGUGAAAUGCGCAGAGUAUCAGGAAGAACACCCGUGGCUAAGGCGGCUCUCUAGUACGGUACUGACGCUGAGACGCGAAAGCGUGGGGAGCGAACAGG
rnacentral:rRNA from 1 species